AACGAACGCUGGCGGCAUGCCUAACACAUGCAAGUCGAACGAGACCUUCGGGUCUAGUGGCGCACGGGUGCGUAACGCGUGAGAACCUGCCCUUAGGUUCGGAAUAACUCCCCGAAAGGGGUGCUAAUACCGGAUAAUGUCUUCGGACCAAAGAUUUAUCGCCUUUGGAUGGGCCCGCGUUGGAUUAGCUAGUUGGUAGGGUAAAAGCCUACCAAGGCGACGAUCCAUAGCUGGUCUGAGAGGAUGAUCAGCCACACUGGGACUGAGACACGGCCCAGACUCCUACGGGAGGCAGCAGUGGGGAAUAUUGGACAAUGGGCGAAAGCCUGAUCCAGCAAUGCCGCGUGAGUGAUGAAGGCCUUAGGGUUGUAAAGCUCUUUUACCCGGGAUGAUAAUGACAGUGCCGGGAGAAUAAGCUCCGGCUAACUCCGUG
rnacentral:rRNA from 1 species